rnacentral:rRNA from 1 species
AUUGAACGCUAACGGCGUGCUUAACACAUGCAAGUCGAGCGGCAGCAUGACUGUAGCAAUACAGUUGAUGGCGAGCGGCGGACGGGUGAGUAAUGCAUAGGAAUCUGCCUUGUAGUGGGGGAUAACCCGGGGAAACCCGGGCUAAUACCGCAUAAUCUCUACGGAGCAAAGUGGGGGACCUUCGGGCCCUACGCUAAAAGAUGAGCCUAUGUUGGAUUAGCUAGUUGGUAGGGUAAAGGCCUACCAAGGCAACGAUCCAUAGCUGGUCUGAGGGGAUGAUCAGCCACACGGGGACUGAGACACGGCCCAGACUCCUACGGGAGGCAGCAGUGGGGAAUAUUGGACAAUGGGCGAAAGCCUGAUCCAGAAACGCCGUGUGUGUGAAGAAGGCCUUCGGGUUGUAAAGCACUUUUAGUGGGGAAGAAAAGUUCAUGGCUAAUAUCCAUGAAUGCUGACGUUACCCACAGAAAAAGCACUGGCUAACUCUGUGCCAGCAGCCGCCGUAA